UUGAACGCUGGCGGCAUGCUUUACACCUGCCAGUCGAGCGGUAACAGGCCUUCGGGUGCUGACGAGUGGCGAACGGGUGAGUAAUGCAUCGGAACGUACCCAGAGGUGGGGGAUAACGCAGCGAAAGCUGUGCUAAUACCGCAUGUGAUCUGAGGAUGAAAGCGGGGGACCGAGCAGCAAUGUUUGGCCUCGCGCCUUUGGAGCGGCCGAUGUCGGAUUAGCUAGUUGGUGGGGUAAAGGCCUACCAAGGCGACGAUCCGUAGCUGGUCUGAGAGGACGACCAGCCACACUGGGACUGAGACACGGCCCAGACUCCUACGGGAGGCAGCAGUGGGGAAUUUUGGACAAUGGGCGCAAGCCUGAUCCAGCAAUGCCGCGUGCGGGAAGAAGGCCUUCGGGUUGUAAACCGCUUUUGGCAGGAACGAAACGGUGUCCGCUAAUACCGGGCGCUAAUGACGGUACCUGCAGAAUAAGCACCGGCUAACUACGUG
rnacentral:rRNA from 1 species